rnacentral:rRNA from 1 species
UUUUCGGAUGGAAAGAUAUGUUCUUAGUGGCGGACGGGUGAGUAAUGUAUGAGCAACCUACCUUUAAGAGGGGGACAACAGUUGGAAACGACUGCUAAUACCGCAUAACGCGAAUUUGUCGCAUGACAGAUUUGUCAAAGGAGCAAUCCGCUUAAAGAUGGGCUCAUAUCUGAUUAGGUAGUUGGAGAGGUAACGGCUCACCAAGCCUACGAUCAGUAGCCGGACUGAGAGGUUGAACGGCCACAUUGGAACUGAGACACGGCCCAGACUCC